CCUACGGGAGGCAGCAGUGAGGAAUAUUGGUCAAUGGGCUUACGCCUGAACCAGCCAAGUCGCGUGAGGGAAGACUGCCCUAUGGGUUGUAAACCUCUUUUGUCAGGGAGCAACGCCGGCUACGUGUAGCCGGACUGAGAGUACCUGAAGACAAAGCAUCGACUAACUCCGUGCCAGCAGCCGCGGUAAUACGGAGGAUGCGAGCGUUAUCCGGAUUUAUUGGGUUAAAGGGGUGCGUUGGCGGAAUGUCAGGUCAGCGGGAAAAUCGCGGGGCUCAACCUCGCUCCGCCGUUGAAACUGGCGUACUUGAGUGGGCGAGAAGUAUGCGGAAUGCGUGGUGUAGCGGUGAAAUGCAUAGAUAUCACGCAGAACUACGAUGGCGAAGGCAGCAUACCGGCGCCCAACUGACGCUGAAGCACGAAAGCGUGGGUAUCGAACAGGAUUAGAUACCCUUGUAGUC
rnacentral:rRNA from 1 species